rnacentral:lncRNA from 1 species
CUCUUCCGGUUACCUUUUCCCAGCGCCAGAGGCGCCUAGGGUUGGGGUCCUCGCUCAGGCACAGAGACCCGACACCGAGCGGCGGCUUCCCCGGGAUCGAGGGACGCGCACGCCAGAGGAGACGAAAGGAACCCGGGUCGGACCAGAUCGGAACCACUGACCAUUGCCCAUGGCGGCCCUAGUGAGUGUGGAUUUGGCGGGGUUCGGGGGUUCCGACGGCGACCUCGGCGACCCCUCACUCACCGCUUCCUCUUUCCGCAGGGCCCUAGCAGCCAGAAUGUCACUGAAUACGUCGUUCGAGUUCCUAAGUAAGUCCCCAGCCCCAUCUCCCACUCCUCUCCACCCCCCAAAAAUGAAAACCUUCACGAUCUUCUUAGCCAGCCAUUUCUGGCCCUGUCUGUGGUUCUCCCUCCAGACCGGGAGAGACUUGGAGGGCAGGGCUGGGAUUAAGCUGAGGCUUCUCUGGGGACAACACUGCUUUUUUGAACGAAUGAAUGAAUGAGUGCAUUAAUACACGGUGAUCCAGCCCCCUGGCCUAACCUUCGAGGAGUAUAUGGUCCCAUGAUGCCCAGGCCAGCUGUAAGGACAUAUUCCUCGUCCUGUUUCAAAGUGGUCAGGCUGUCUUUCCUUUCCAGGCCUUUGUACAUCCUGUUCCUCUGCCAUGAGUGCCUCCCCUCAACCCCUAAACUGUGACUCUGCUGGGUGAAUUCUUGAUGAUUCUGCAAAACUCAACUCCAGUAUCUUCCUCCUCCAGGAAAUACUCCCUGCCUGUCCUCCCUCCUCCCCAAGGCUGAGUUCACAAUAAUCUCCACAUCUUGGGUUCCCCCAAAUCUUCGUCCCUCCAUCUGCUCUUCUUCUGCCUGGGGUCAGGAGAGGAUGGGUCUAGCUUCUCUGGCAGACUGGGAAUCCUUGGAGUCUUCCGUAUCCAGUGUUGCCAGGCAAAACAGGCUGAAUGAAGCUGGGUGGGUUUGUUGAGUGAAUUGAAUUGAAUUAAUGAUUCAAUUGAAUGGAAUGAUUGAAUUGAAUUAAUGGUUCAAUUGAAUUGAGUGAUUGAAUUAAAGUAAUGAUUUGAUUGAAUUAACGAUCCAGUUGGGUGGUUGAUUGAAUUAAUGGUUCAAUAGCAUUGACUGAUUAAAUUAAUGAUUGAAUUGCUGUAUUGGAUUGACACUACCUCUUCUCAUCCACUCCAGGAAUACAACCAAAAAAUAUAACAUCAUGGCUUUUAAUGCAGCCGACAAAGUCAACUUUGCUACGUGGAAUCAGGUAAGUCUCUGAGUCCUGGGGGUCAGGGGCUGGGGUGGUGAGAGAACUUGACCCUGACCUUGGUGGUUGUGAUAGUUGCUUAACUGUCAUAGUCACUAAGUCUUAAUUUUCUCACUUUUCUCCAAGUGAAGAAAAGAUAGAUGACAAAGGGUUGGGUGCAGUAGUUCACACCUGUAAUCCCAGCACUUUGGGAGGCUGAGGCAGGAAGCUUGCUUAAGGCCAGGAGUUUGAGACCAGCCUGGGCAAUACAAUAGCAAGACCCCAACUCUACAAAAAAAUUAAAAAGUUAGUUGGGGCUGAUAGCGUGGGUCUGUAGUCCUACAUAGGAGGCUGAGGUAGGAGGAUCGCUUGAGCCCAGGGGUUCAAGGCUGCAGUGAGCUAUGAUUGUACGACUGCACUCCAGCCUGGAUAACAGAGCAAGACCCUGCCUCAAAAAAAAAAAAAAAAAAAAAAAAAAAAAAACGGAAAUGGCAAAGGCCCAGGCCUAGCUCCUGGGUGUCCCUGUAAGUUAGGUUUGGUAGGCCCACCAGAGGCCUCUCCUUAAAGGAGAACAUUUAGAAGCUGUGCCCACUGUUGGACAUUUUUGGCCAUGGUUUAUCUGGGCAAGGGAGGGGACUGGGCUGGGGGCUUUCCCAGAGCCCCUGCCAUCAGAGGCUCUAGAAAGGACUUUGGGAGCCAUUAAAGCAUCUUCAAUUGGGAAGUUGUAGUGUGUGUGAUCUGGCUGCUAUGGGGAGACAAACUGUGGGUUUGAGGGCAAAUAAACGGAGACCAAGGUAGAAGCAACUGGACUGGUCUAGGUGAGUCCUGGCAGGGCACUGGAGGCAGUGGAGGUUAUGAGAUGUGGCUGAUUCUAGAGUGUUUUGGAAAUGGUAUAUAUGGACCUUAAAUCAAGAGCUUAAGGGUAAUUCGGAUCACAUUAGCCAUGUAGGUCACGAUAAAUUGUUAAUUUGUAGAGAUUUUGGUGCCUUAAUGUCAGCAAGUGUUGCACAAUGAGUUUCUUUUUAUUUAUUUUAUUUUAUUUUUUUGUGAUGGAGUCUCUUGUCAUCCAGGCUGGAGUGCAGUGGCGCGACCUGGGCUCACUGCAACCUCCACCUCCCAGGUUCAAGCCAUUCUCCUGCCUCAGCCUCCCAAGUAGCUGGGAUUACAGGCGCCCACCACCACGCCUAGCUAAUUUUUGUAUUUUUAGUAGAGACGAAGUUUCGCCAUGUUGGUCAGGCUGGUCUUGAACUCCUGACCUCAAGUGAUCCACCCGCCUCAGCCUUCCACCAUGCCCAGCCUUUUUAUUUUUAGGAAAUAGAUAUAGGAUCUCACUAUGUUGCCCAGGCUGGUCUUUUUUUUUUUUUUUUUUUUUUUUGGGGACUGAGUCUUGCUUUGUCGCCCAGACUGGAGUGCAGCGCCAGGAUCUCGGCUCACUGCAAGCUCCGCCUCCCGGGUUCACGCCAUUCUCCUGCCUCAGCCUCCCAAGUAGCUGGGAUUAUAGGCGCCUGCCAUCAUGCCCGGCUUAUUUUUUGUAUUUUUAGUAGAGACGGGGUUUCACCGUGUUAGCCAGGAUGGUCUCAAUCUCCUGACCUCGUGAUCCACCUGCCUUGGCCUCCCGAAGUGCUGCAGGUCACACAGCCUGAUCCACUGCAGGGCAGCAGCUCCAGGCAGGGCACCCGAGGAGGGUUUCUCUAGCAGUGACAUCGGCCUCAGAGGUGGGGCGGGUGCAGUUAAGGGCUGUGGAGGGACACAGUGCAUGAGGCCAGUGCAGAGUGACUGUGGGCAGGGGGACGAGGCUGGGGGCCCAGAGCACUUGGUCUUGGAUGUAUGGCUUUGGAUGAGACCGUAGGGCCACCACCACCCUAGGGUGCUUGCAGAUGGUGGGGAGGGCACUCUGGACGCAUCUACAAAUGGCAUUUGCACAGGUCACAGAUGAGCAGAUGCUCAAAGAGUCGAUGGCUCCCAAAGG